CAUGCCAGAGCUGGAAUGUACCAACCAAGACUCUUCUUCCACUUUCAUCAUACAAUUUUUUAUUCUACGGUGGGGUGAAAAACAGGCGACUCUAAGAAGGUGAGACUGCCCUCAGAGGAAGAAAUACGCAUUUGAGUGCCCCCAGGACAGCUGAGAUCUUUUGUGAGCAUCGGCCCUGGAGAGCCUGGUUCACUAUGAGUCUGAUGCAAGCUCCAGGUGCAAGCGAUGGGCGGACUGUGCACACUCAGAUGUAGCUGAGAAACUGCUCUGUACACAGGAUGGGGCAUGAGAGACUGGAUCCAAAGCUUCUUCCAACUGAAAUCGUUCCUAGACAGUUAUAAUCCUACUCUUCUAUGGCUGAACUGGACAGUUGUACUCUUAUUCUUCUAUGGCUGAUCUUCAGAACUGUAUGAAAAAAAUAAUGGUUAUUAGCCUCAUGGUCUAAUACAGGAGUAACUGCUAAUCUGCCUCUUCAUGUGGACAUCAUUAAUGAGGAAUUAACAAAAGGGUUCUCUUACAGCAGUCUGCACAGAGCCCCCCAAUGAAUACUAUGACAGUAUCGUAGGAAAGCCCCCUUUCAUCACCAAGAAUCACUUGAGGCAGAAGUCCUGUGUCAUCUCUGUGUGGACAUUAAAAUACUAGUUUGUGCAUGAUCUUUGAAGCAUCACUCAGAAGACUGCAGUCUCUGUUCUAACUAUGGUUGCCACAUAUUUGUGUGGAACUUGUCUUAAAUCUGUUUGUCCAUUACAUUUAUGAUUUAUUUCUCUGUGAUGCCAGGAGGCAGUUCUCAACACUGGCUCAUCCUCAGUUACAUCUGUGUUUUAGAUUUGCUGUUCCAUUAUCAUAGAGAUUAAAAAUUGUCUCCAGUCUUCUAACAAGACACAUUAUGUUGUGCUAAUCUAUUGUACUUUGCCAUCAUAUGCUUAUUAAAAAUUCUUCUUUGAAAGUGUUAUCUAUUUUUCACCUUCUCUUUUCUUAUUUCUCCAUUGCUGAACAUGAUAGGGCAGUAAUUCAGAUCAGAGCUUUCCACAAAAUAAAUAACCACAGUCUUAUAUGUAGCUCUACAGAAAAUAUUUUGUAAGUCCCCUGAGGUUCUUUUUAUCUACUGCUUACUUCAUUUAAAAUAUUUUAAAAUACAGUACCACCAAUCUGAUUAUUUUAUUAUUAUUAUUAUUUAUUUUUAUUAUUAUUAUUUGAAGGUGAUCAAGUUAAGUGGAAAACCAGUAGCUAGAUACCCACAAAAUUUAGUUUACACUCAUCCCAGUUUUCAUUGACAUGUAAGAUCAUGUUAAACUAUUUUAUUCAACAGUAUUUACCACAGCUAAACCACUAGGCACAAAUUUCUAGGAAGCAAUCCCAACCAUUUUUUUGUGUAAUAACCACUAGUUUGUACUGCUACACGUACAGACACAAUUGUCAGAAAACACAGUAAGGGCUCUGGGAUGAUGAACAAAUCAGCCAUAUUUACUUGAACAUGUGAUACUAGGAAAGGCAUAAUACUAUAGUUGGAUUUUCUGAGAAGCAUCCCUUUGCACUGGAACUUCUGGUGAUGUAAAACCUCUUGAACCACUGCUGAUACUUGUUUCAUAGAUCUCAGGUCUUUAAGAAGAUGGAAAACAAGAUCUGAACAAACUAGUCAAAAAUCAUCCAAUUAAACUCAGUAAGUCCUUUUAUGGCACAUACCUUGA